rnacentral:rRNA from 1 species
GACGAACGCUGGCGGCGUGCCUAAUACAUGCAAGUCGAACGCUUCUUUCCUCCCGAGUGCUUGCACUCAAUUGGAAAGAGGAGUGGCGGACGGGUGAGUAACACGUGGGUAACCUACCCAUCAGAGGGGGAUAACACUUGGAAACAGGUGCUAAUACCGCAUAACAGUUUAUGCCGCAUGGCAUAAGAGUGAAAGGCGCUUUCGGGUGUCGUUGAUGGAUGGACCCGCGGUGCAUUAGCUAGUUGGUGAGGUAACGGCUCACCAAGGCCACGAUGCAUAGCCGACCUGAGAGGGUGAUCGGCCAUACUGGGACUGAGACACGGCCCAGACUCCUACGGGAGGCAGCAGUAGGGAAUCUUCGGCAAUGGACGAAAGUCUGACCGAGCAACGCCGCGUGAGUGAAGAAGGUUUUCGGAUCGUAAAACUCUGUUGUUAGAGAAGAACAAGGACGUUAGUAACUGAACGUCCCCUGACGGUAUCUAACCAGAAAGCCACGGCUAACUACGUG